UCCGCCAGGGCCUCUGCUCCUGGCCGCCACCCGGCACACAAUGCACACUAUGGCGCCUCCUGCGGGUGGUGGGCCUGCGGGAGGAUCUAAAAUUUUAACCUUCUCAUCUUUACUUUGCAAAAAUACAGAAGAAAUGUGUCCUUGAGCGUAUUCAACUGUACUUGUGUUACUUUGCAGUGUCUCAAAUCACAUGAAGCCCAGUCUGGAGCUUCCUUGAUGCUCCAUGUCUGAGUGGAAAGAAAUCACUGCUCUGUUUUGUUUUACAUUUUCACCUUCUGCCCGUCUCUUCUCACUGCAGCUCAGUGUGCCUCCAGUUCUCCAGUCUCCCCAACAAACAUAGUUUCUCCCCCUUCCUCGGCUGACUUUCCCAUCUCAACCCACACCAUGAAGGUGUGAUUCUCACAAGUUCAAGCCCUGGGCACUGUUAAGGUUGAUGGAGCAUCUUUCUGAGGAUUGACUCAAAAAACUGGAAAGUCUCAGAAAAUGGAAAAAGAAAGACCAAAUUUUUACAACAAAAUCAUUUAAAUGUGUCAAAUUAAAUUUCUGGGAGGUAAUAACAAUUUGAAAUCCAAAAGAAUGGGGUAAGACUCAUGAACUCAAGACUCCUCCUGUUAUAUAUGCACUGUAAUGACAAAGGAACACUUCAGAUUACUUAGCAUACUUCUUUUUCUUUUAGCUCAGGAUAUAUCCUACAAAGUAGAAAUUACUGAAAAACUAACAAGGGAACAUAGCAUAUAAGAAGCUCUCGCUGAAGAUCAACUAUGAAAAAAAGCUACAGAGAGUAUGAAGAGAGACAGUUUCUAAGAGUGUGAUGUAAAUGAAUCUAAAGAUGCAUCUGGGCCCUGAAAGCCAAAGUUGAAGAACCAACCAGCCCAACUACUGGCCUGUGAAGCUCAGUGAGGAGUGAGGCUAUGGAUAUUUAUUCACACUGGUUGAAGUCUUUGGAAAGUUUCGUGUAACAGAAUCACAUUUUCUUUACGGUCAGAUGCUGUGUAAAAUGCAAAUAAAAACAGAAUGUAAUGAUUUACAAACAAAUUAAUUACGUUUAUGAAAACGGUACAAGAAAAACUAUAUAUAACAAAAAGGAGAAAUUUUUUUGAAAAGAAGAAGCUCCCAUGUUUGGUGUAAUUCAUUUCAUAAUGCACCAAAUGUUUACAGUGAGUGAAGUAGGACCUGAAGUGGAGGCAGGCCAUUGUAGGACCUGGACAUGUUAUCAAUGCUGAUACAGUCCAAGGAUUUGGCAGAAAAGCAUGUGUGAUUGAGAGCAUGUUGCUGUAUAAACUUGUACACAUAUCGUUGCAUGUAAGUAAAUUCACAUUUGCCUUCACAGAUGUUGAAAAUAUCUAUACCAUGCUGCACCCUCAAAUUGUUACUGAUGCUGGCCUUGAAGCUGUGCACCAGUGACACGCAGCAGCUUUAAAAUAUGUUGCUGCUUUAUGUCAACAUUUGAUAUGGAUCUUUUGUUUUUCUUUACAUUUUAUACAGCCUACCAAGAGCUGAACACAGAUGCCGUGUAGUCAUGUACCCUUCGUAGUGUUACAGGUUUAUCUCUGAGCACGAUGUCCGGGACGCUGAAGAGACCUAUAACCUCUGUACAUUGAAAUAGCCAUCUGACUGGUGUGGGUACUGUACAGCAAAAAUUGAGGGAUGUUGAAAAUUUAUGUAGCUGAAAUCUGGUGGAAACCAAGAUAAGUUGUUGUAUAUGAAUGUAAUUUAAAUUGGACUCACAUACAGGAUUGGUAGUUCUAUUUUUAAGAGACAUGAUUACCUCAACACAGACACAUACUGCAUUUGGUUAAAUGGCUUUGCACUUAACAUCAAAUUGAGUAGGAGUUCCUCGAUGACUUUUCCCUGUGAUUGUGUCACGUUUAUAGGUAUGUGGAUUGUUUGUUUCUCUAGAUAAUGAUAUGCUGUAUAUGGGACAAUAGAAGUGACCUUGAGCA